UAGGGAAUCUUCGGCAAUGGACGAAAGUCUGACCGAGCAACGCCGCGUGAGUGAAGAAGGUUUUCGGAUCGUAAAACUCUGUUGUUAGAGAAGAACAAGGACGUUAGUAACUGAACGUCCCCUGACGGUAUCUAACCAGAAAGCCACGGCUAACUACGUGCCAGCAGCCGCGGUAAUACGUAGGUGGCAAGCGUUGUCCGGAUUUAUUGGGCGUAAAGCGAGCGCAGGCGGUUUCUUAAGUCUGAUGUGAAAGCCCCCGGCUCAACCGGGGAGGGUCAUUGGAAACUGGGAGACUUGAGCGCAGAAGAGGAGAGUGGAAUUCCAUGUGUAGCGGUGAAAUGCGUAGAUAUAUGGAGGAACACCAGUGGCGAAGGCGGCUCUCUGGUCUGUAACUGACGCUGAGGCUCGAAAGCGUGGGGAACAAACAGG
rnacentral:rRNA from 1 species